AUGCAUUCAUUCACAUGUAAAAAAAGGGAAAAGAAUAUGCAUUUAGAGCUUUAAUGUAUGAAGUUGUCCAUUAAGUCCUUUUCCCCUUUCUGCUAUGGACUCAGCUUUAUGUGGAACCAACAGUGGUACUUCAUCACAUUUUAUUCAAAUAUGCUCCUCUUUUAAGAAAACUAUUAGAUUCUUAUUUCACUUUUGUUGUCCAAUGUCCAAGUAAUUUUUUUAGAGGAAAAAAUGGAAAUUGUUUUUCCUUGUUUUGUGGAAGAUAAUUAUUGCUUUUGGAAAGAUGUUUGAAAGUCAACAACAUAGUUUAGAUUUUGGGUUGAGACGGUUGACUGAUAAAGCAUGAAGAAAAUAGCUUUUCUGUGAUAGCUUGGUGAGCAUCCAUCUACUACAAAAGGGAAGGGGAUUUUUAAGAGAAGGUUAAGGGUUGGGGAAGGGUUUCUCCGAAAUAAGUGAUUUUAAAAUUCUUAUAGUUGACUCAGUUCAAUUACCAGGAAGAAAAUAGCUUUUCUGUGGCUUAUGGUCUGUGUGAGAGCCUGAAACAAAAUGUUGGUUCAUUUCAUAACAGGGAGUAGCAAUG
rnacentral:misc_RNA from 1 species